rnacentral:rRNA from 1 species
GAUGAACGCUGGCGGCGUGCCUAAUACAUGCAAGUCGAGCGAACGGACGAGAAGCUUGCUUCUCUGAUGUUAGCGGCGGACGGGUGAGUAACACGUGGAUAACCUACCUAUAAGACUGGGAUAACUUCGGGAAACCGGAGCUAAUACCGGAUGAUAUUUUGAACCGCAUGGUUCAAAAGUGAAAGACGGUCUUGCUGUCACUUAUAGAUGGAUCCGCGCUGCAUUAGCUAGUUGGUAAGGUAACGGCUUACCAAGGCAACGAUGCAUAGCCGACCUGAGAGGGUGAGCGGCCACACUGGACCUGAGACACGGUCCAGACUCCUACGGGAGGCAGCAGUAGGGAAUCUUCCGCAAUGGGCGAAAGCCUGACGGAGCAAAGCCGCGUGAGUGAUGAAGGUCCUCGGAUCGUAAAACUCUGUUAUUAGGGAAGAACAUAUGUGUAAGUAACUGUGCACAUCUUGACGGUACCUAAUCAGAAAGCCACGGCUAACUACGUG